rnacentral:rRNA from 1 species
GGGACACGUGGUAUCCUGUCUGAAUAUGGGGGGACCAUCCUCCAAGGCUAAAUACUCCUGACUGACCGAUAGUGAACCAGUACCGUGAGGGAAAGGCGAAAAGAACCCCGGCGAGGGGAGUGAAAAAGAACCUGAAACCGUGUACGUACAAGCAGUGGGAGCCUCUUUUAUGGGGUGACUGCGUACCUUUUGUAUAAUGGGUCAGCGACUUAUAUUCUGUAGCAAGGUUAACCGAAUAGGGGAGCCGAAGGGAAACCGAGUCUUAACUGGGCGUUAAGUUGCAGGGUAUAGACCCGAAACCCGGUGAUCUAGCCAUGGGCAGGUUGAAGGUUGGGUAACACUAACUGGAGGACCGAACCGACUAAUGUUGAAAAAUUAGCGGAUGACUUGUGGCUGGGGGUGAAAGGCCAAUCAAACCGGGAGAUAGCUGGUUCUCCCCGAAAGCUAUUUAGGUAGCGCCUCGUGAAUUCAUCUCCGGGGGUAGAGCACUGUUUCGGCAAGGGGGUCAUCCCGACUUACCAACCCGAUGCAAACUGCGAAUACCGGAGAAUGUUAUCACGGGAGACACACGGCGGGUGCUAACGUCCGUCGUGAAGAGGGAAACAACCCAGACCGCCAGCUAAGGUCCCAAAGUCAUGGUUAAGUGGGAAACGAUGUGGGAAGGCCCAGACAGCCAGGAUGUUGGCUUAGAAGCAGCCAUCAUUUAAAGAAAGCGUAAUAGCUCACUGGUCGAGUCGGCCUGCGCGGAAGAUGUAACGGGGCUAAACCAUGCACCGAAGCUGCGGCAGCGACACUAUGUGUUGUUGGGUAGGGGAGCGUUCUGUAAGCCUGUGAAGGUGUACUGUGAGGUAUGCUGGAGGUAUCAGAAGUGCGAAUGCUGACAUAAGUAACGAUAAAGCGGGUGAAAAGCCCGCUCGCCGGAAGACCAAGGGUUCCUGUCCAACGUUAAUCGGGGCAGGGUGAGUCGACCCCUAAGGCGAGGCCGAAAGGCGUAGUCGAUGGGAAACAGGUUAAUAUUCCUGUACUUGGUGUUACUGCGAAGGGGGGACGGAGAAGGCUAUGUUGGCCGGGCGACGGUUGUCCCGGUUUAAGCGUGUAGGCUGGUUUUCCAGGCAAAUCCGGAAAAUCAAGGCUGAGGCGUGAUGACGAGGCACUACGGUGCUGAAGCAACAAAUGCCCUGCUUCCAGGAAAAGCCUCUAAGCAUCAGGUAACAUCAAAUCGUACCCCAAACCGACACAGGUGGUCAGGUAGAGAAUACCAAGGCGCUUGAGAGAACUCGGGUGAAGGAACUAGGCAAAAUGGUGCCGUAACUUCGGGAGAAGGCACGCUGAUAUGUAGGUGAAGUCCCUCGCGGAUGGAGCUGAAAUCAGUCGAAGAUACCAGCUGGCUGCAACUGUUUAUUAAAAACACAGCACUGUGCAAACACGAAAGUGGACGUAUACGGUGUGACGCCUGCCCGGUGC